UUAUGCGAUACUUGGUGUGAAUUGCAGAAUUCAGUGAAUCAUCGAAUCUUUGAACGCACAUUGCGCCCGCCAGUAUUCUGGCGGGCAUGCCUGUCCGAGCGUCAUUUCAACCCUCGAACCCCUCCGGGGGGUCGGCGUUGGGGAUCGGCCCUCCCUUAGCGGGUGGCCGUCUCCGAAAUACAGUGGCGGUCUCGCCGCAGCCUCUCCUGCGCAGUAGUUUGCACACUCGCAUCGGGAGCGCGGCGCGUCCACAGCCGUUAAACACCCAACUUCUGAAAUGUUGACCUCGGAUCAGGUAGGAAUACCCGCUGAACUUAAGCAUAUCAAUAAGCGGAGGAA
rnacentral:rRNA from 1 species